rnacentral:rRNA from 1 species
UACAGAGGGUGCGAGCGUUGUCCGGAAUCACUGGGCGUAGAGGGCGCGUAGGUGGCGAGCCAAGUCCAUGGUGAAAGCUCGAUGCUCAACAUCGAGUCGGCCGCGGAUACUGGUGCGCUUGAGCACUGUAGAGGCUAAUGGAAUUCCGGGUGUAGCGGUGGAAUGCGUAGAGAUCCGGAAGAACACCGGUGGCGAAGGCGGUUAGCUGGGCAGUUGCUGACACUGAGGCGCGACAGCGUGGGGAGCAAACAGG